GACGGAGGAUGCAAGCGUUAUCCGGAAUCACUGGGCGUAAAGCGUCUGUAGGUGGUUUCAAAAGUCCACUGUUAAAGAUUGAAGCUUAACUUCAAAAAUGCCGUGGAAACUUUGAAACUUGAGUAUGAUAGGGGUAGAGGGAAUUUCCAGUGGAGCGGUGAAAUGCGUAGAUAUUGGAAAGACCACCAAUGGCGAAGGCACUCUACUGGGCCAUUACUGACGCUGAGAGACGAAAGCUAGGGGAGCAAAUGGG
rnacentral:rRNA from 1 species